AAUCAACGCUGGCGGCGUGCCUAACACAUGCAAGUCGCACGAGAAAAUCCCCGCAAGGGGAUGAGUACAGUGGCGUACGGGUGAGUAACACGUGACUAACCUACCCUAAAGUGGGGGAUAACCUCGGGAAACCGGGGCUAAUACCGCAUACUCUCGCGAGGUGAAGAUCCUUGUGAGCAAAGCCGAAAGGCGCUUAUGGAGGGGGUCGCGGCUGAUUAGCUAGUUGGCGGGGUAAUGGCCCACCAAGGCAAUGAUCAGUAUCCGGCCUGAGAGGGCGCACGGACACACUGGAACUGAAACACGGUCCAGACUCCUACGGGAGGCAGCAGUGGGGAAUUUUGCGCAAUGGGGGAAACCCUGACGCAGCAACGCCGCGUGGAGGAUGAAGUCCCUUGGGACGUAAACUCCUUUCGAUCGGGACGAUUAUGACGGUACCGGAAGAAG
rnacentral:rRNA from 1 species